UACGUAGGGACCGAGCGUUGUCCGGAUUCAUUGGGCGUAAAGAGCUCGUAGGCGGCUGCUCAAGUCGAAUGUGAAAACUCGAGGCUCAACCUCGAGCCUGCAAUUCGAUACUGGGCGGCUAGAGUCUGGUAGGGGGGAUCUGGAAUUCCUGGUGUAGCGGCGGAAUGCGCAGAUAUCAGGAGGACACCGGUGGCGAAGGCGGGAUCCUGGCCAGUACUGACGCUGAGGAGCGAAAGCGUGGGGAGCAAACAGG
rnacentral:rRNA from 1 species